rnacentral:rRNA from 1 species
UACGUAGGUGGCAAGCGUUAAUCGGAAUUACUGGGCGUAAAGCGCACGCAGGCGGUCUGUUAAGUCAGAUGUGAAAUCCCCGGGCUUAACCUGGGAACUGCAUUUGAAACUGGCAGGCUUGAGUCUUGUAGAGGGGGGUAGAAUUCCAGGUGUAGCGGUGAAAUGCGUAGAGAUCUGGAGGAAUACCGGUGGCGAAGGCGGCCCCCUGGACAAAGACUGACGCUCAGGUGCGAAAGCGUGGGGAGCAAACAGG